CCCAGACUCCUACGGGAGGCAGCAGUGGGGAAUAUUGCACAAUGGGCGAAAGCCUGAUGCAGCGACGCCGCGUGAGUGAAGAAGUAUUUCGGUAUGUAAAGCUCUAUCAGCAGGGAAGAAAAUGACGGUACCUGACUAAGAAGCCCCGGCUAACUACGUGCCAGCAGCCGCGGUAAUACGUAGGGGGCAAGCGUUAUCCGGAUUUACUGGGUGUAAAGGGAGUGUAGGUGGCAUAACAAGUCAGAAGUGAAAGCCUGGGGCUCAACCGCGGGACUGCUUUGGAAACUGUAUGGCUGGAGUACUGGAGAGGAAAGCGGAAUUCCGAGUGUAGCGGUGAAAUGCGUAGAUAUUAGGAAGAACACCAGUGGCGAAGGCGGCUUGCUGGACAGUAACUGACGUUGAGGCUCGAAAGCGUGGGGAGCAAACAGGAUUAGAUAUCCUCGUA
rnacentral:rRNA from 1 species